AUGCUUCAAUAAGGUCACUUUCCAUAAAUUAAUUUCUGCUGCGCGCAUGGGUUCAAUAUAUUUGUGGCGCUAGCAGUUUUAGAUGGAAUGAAUUAGACAUACUUUAGUCGCGUGUAUCUAAACCAGUCUGGAAUAUAAUUGAAAGCCAGCGACUAUUGAUAGGCUUUGAAUAAAAUCACAAGUCAUGCAGAUGAGAUGUUAUCCGCACAAAUUAGCUGGUUUGUGCAUAGGCCUCUGCUGUUGCAAAGGUUUUCCUCAUGAAAGAGUUCUUGCAAUGAUAACAUGGGCUUCUUUGGCUUUCCUUGAAGCUUCCAAACAUGAAUUACAUAUGGAGUCUGCUACCAAUGGACAAAAUAAGGGAGGUCACACAACACAUCUUCAUCUAAGAACAUGAAAAUGGUGACUAGAACAGUGGAUCUUAGAUCUGAUACUGUGAUGUGAUGCGAGCUGCCAUGGCUAACGCUGAUGUGGAUGAUGAUGCCUUAGGAAAUAUCCUACGGCAUUCCGAUUAGAGUCUAAGGUGGAAAAGGUUAUGGGUAAAGAAGUUGCAGCGUUUGUAUUUUAUGGGACCAUGGGGAACCUCAUAGCCAUUUUUGUCCAUUGUGAGAUAAGGGGAAGUGAGGUUAUCCUUGGUGAUGACUCACACAUUCAUGUUUAUGAGAAUGGGGGUAUUUCA